GAAAGGUCCAACUUCUUGCUGGCUCUGGCUGCUACCUAUUCAUUUCAUUGGUCACCGCCGGCGACAAAUCCCGCGCGGCGCCGGCGGCCGGCUCGCACGCCCUCCAGCCCAUCGCCGCCCCUUUGCACCAGGUGUCGAUAUAUUUGGAGUGGCUGGAGCUGCACCACCUGGCCUCCUUAGGGCCGUCGGCGAGCGCUUCUACGGCCAGCCUACAAACUCACCGUCCCUUCCUUCACAGGCUUCAUCAGGAACCCCUCCGCAGUCCGCUGAGCUCCAGGCAGUAGUAUGCAUGCAUGGUGGGCUUCACCUUGAACUUUUCUGCCAACUUCACUCAGUUUCCUCUGCUGACGCCUGACGGUGUGAUAUUGUGGCAUAUUUACCCUGGAGCUAGCAUAUAUAUGGAGCUGACUUUGUUCCUGGAGGAGCAGACACAGAGGAGGAAUCUGCUACCUCAAAGCAGUUGAUCGACGCCGGGAGGGUGGGUACGUGAUGUCGGAGGCUGCCGGGAGGGUGGUGACGAGCUACCGAAGAGAUGAGUUCUGGCUCUCCUCGAUGCCAGGACGAGGCGCUGUUGCCGAUCGGACGUGGACUCGAUUGAUUUUGAUUUGAAAUAUGACGGGUUGUAAUGUAAAAUGCACUUCAGUUCAAAAUUUCCUCCCCUUGCGAGAGGUAUUCUUGGACGGAGGGAGUAGAAGAUUAGUUAUAGGAUUUUGUUUUAUUUCUGUGCAAUUUUCUUUUUAUGGGAUACUUAUAAAGACAUGGUAAUAUUCUUGCUAUAAUAAAAAUGAUGGUUCUAUUUCA